rnacentral:rRNA from 1 species
CAAUGCCUACGGGAGGCAGCAGUAGGGAAUCUUCCACAAUGGGCGAAAGCCUGAUGGAGCAACGCCGCGUGGGUGAAGAAGGUCUUCGGAUCGUAAAACCCUGUUGUUAGAGAAGAAAGUGCGUGAGAGUAACUGUUCACGUUUCGACGGUAUCUAACCAGAAAGCCACGGCUAACUACGUGCCAGCAGCCGCGGUAAUACGUAGGUGGCAAGCGUUAUCCGGAUUUAUUGGGCGUAAAGGGAACGCAGGCGGACGUUUAAGUCUG